UAAUACGUAGGGAGCAAGCGUUAUCCGGAUUUAUUGGGUGUAAAGGGUGCGUAGACGGGAAAUUAAGUUAGUUGUGAAAUCCCUCGGCUUAACUGAGGAACUGCAACUAAAACUGAUUUUCUUGAGUGCUGGAGAGGAAAGUGGAAUUCCUAGUGUAGCGGUGAAAUGCGUAGAUAUUAGGAGGAACACCAGUGGCGAAGGCGACUUUCUGGACAGUAACUGACGUUGAGGCACGAAAGUGUGGGGAGCAAACAGG
rnacentral:rRNA from 1 species